GUCCACGCCGUAAACGAUGAGAACUGGAUGAGGGGAAACUUGCUUUCUCCGUGUCGAAGCUAACGCGUUAAGUUCUCCGCCUGGGGAGUACGGCCGCAAGGCUAAAACUCAAAGGAAUUGACGGGGGCCCGCACAAGCGGUGGAGUAUGUGGUUUAAUUCGAUGCAACGCGAAAAACCUUACCUGGUCUUGACAUGUCUGGAAUCCUGUAGAGAUACGGGAGUGCCUUCGGGAACCAGAACACAGGUGCUGCAUGGCUGUCGU
rnacentral:rRNA from 1 species